rnacentral:siRNA from 1 species
ACUAACCGUUUAUCCGUCCGGUCU